rnacentral:lncRNA from 1 species
GCAACGACCCUUUGGUAAAAUUAUUUGUGGCAACGUUUUCAAUUCUCCCAAAUUUUUUCGCUUCUGAUUUUUCUAGACCCGCAACCUUUUAUUAAGUAUAUUACUUUCUUUAUUUCUUUGUUUUUCUAUGGCUAUUGCUCUCACUAAAACUUAGAUUUCUUCAAUUCCUCGGAUAUGUUGCAUCGCCGCCCAAAAAACCCUGCGGCAAAACUUUCAUUAAUCGCCGCCAGACGACCUAACCCCCCACCGGCAAAGCUUUUUAUUGCUUUAAAGGCAUCCAAUGUUAGCCCUCAAGCACUGUAACAUAACCUUCUUUGCCCAAUUUCAUUCGCUUGGUCUACAUUAGUUUUCUUCGCUAUUGUGGAUCAAAAUAGUCGAGGUUUCUUAAUUUUCUUUAUUGUGGGUCAGCUUCAAGGUAAGUCCAACUCAUUGCUUCUUCUUUUUUAUUCUAGUUUUUAAAAAAUUUCUCAUCUAAGUGGGUGAAACGUAUCUCUAGGUUAAUUUUAGAUUUUGAGGGUGUAAUUUGUGUGGGUAAAUAGAGUUUUAACUAUACUUUGUUAUGUGAUCGAUUUAGAUGUUGCAAUAGGUGAGUUGCUCUUUUGUUGGGGUUAAAAUUGAGCUUAAUGGAGUAUGUCAUGUACCUCCAUUGUUCGAUAGAAUGCCAGCCAAGUAGUAGCAAGUAGGCUUGUCAGUCGUCACAUUUCUCUUCUUUGUUGCAAGAGUUAGUCACCAUUAAUGUCCCUGGAUAAUAUUGUCGCGCUUACGCUAUAGUUCCUGUCUUAAACAUGAGUUUCAGGCUUGUGAUCACAAAUAAUGAAAAGCCAAUGCCUACAGGGGCGGAUGUAGCAUUUCAAAUACGGGUUCAAAUAAACUCAUAACUUUCGAUAUGGAGUAUGAAUUUAUAUGUAAGAAUCUAUUAAAUUCUCAAUAAGUAUUAGAUUUGAACCCAUAAUUUUAACCGCACAAUGAGUUCAAUGCUAAAAAUUAUAAAAGUUGAACCCAUUAAAUUUAAAUUCUGGAUCCGCCUCUGAAUGCCUACUGAGAAUUAGUUUUUGAUGUUUAUUCUUCACAUGUUCUUCCUAGUGGCCUCAUUUUGCUUAUGUAUGGAGUUUUAGGUCUGUUGAUUAACCGAACAGUGGUAACCAGUAUGAGCUUGAUUAACUUCAAUCCAUUUCUGAAAUAUUGCUCUUUCUUUCUCUUGUUUAUUUGGUCUAUUAAUUGCUUCAAAGUGUACUGCUCAUUUUCAAGUUCAGUUGCAAUUUGUUUCCCCUUGUUCUUGUUGAUUUUAUCUAUGUUCUGACCCUUCUUGCUAACUAUAGCAGCCUAUCAUUUCCACUAUGGUGAAAUAAGAAGGGUCAGAAUAAUGCAUGGUACCAUGGAGAAGAUCUCAUUUACCACUCAGGAUAAUAUGGAGAAGAUUUGAAUACUGGCUGUGCCCACUUAAUGUACAUUUGCGAUAUUUUUCUAUUCAUUGAAAAUAUAUUCUUUUGUGAGUUAUUUGCUGAUUUAUUUAUUUAUCAUCUUUUAUAGGUGACAAAAAUGACCCGAGAGUA